CUCAAAAUGUUAAGAGUGAACUUAAGAGAAAGCACUCUGCAAUACUCUCUGCAGUACCCAGGAUGCCUACAGGGAGAUUCCACAAGCUCAGUCAAAGAUAGUAACAACAGGUAGUUGAAAAAUUUGACCACUAGCAGGGUAGUGGUGGCACAUGCCUUUAAUCUCAGGCAGAAGCAGGCCUUCUCUGAGUUCGAGGCCAGUCUGUUCUAUAGACCAAGUUCCAGGACAGUCAGGGCUAUAUAGAGAAACCCCAUCUUGAAAACCAAAAAGCAAACAAACAAACAAAUAAAAAAUGUUUACCAUUGGUUCCAAACAUUAGGAUUCAGAGACAGAUAGCACAUUCUAGUCCAUCUGAACUAAAGUAACAGAUUUCUUAUGACGUAUGUAAUCCUAGGUCCAAUUUGUGUCUCAGGUGUGCCUCUAUUUUAAUGGCAUCCUCUGUCAAGACAGACUAUCACAUGUGUCAUAUAGGAACAGCCAGUGCUUAAUACUGAAUUAAAGCAGACAUUUACAAUGGAUAUUUUUGGCACAAGUUUAAUUUAAGUUGAACAAGAACUUGCUUUUAACCAAGGUCAAAGGGUGGUAACCUUUAAAAGAAACCAAGGACAGGUAUGAGAGAGGCACACACCUGGGUAAGCCUUUGCCCAGCUCUUGCUUUUUCUUGGUUACUUGUUGAAUGACCUGUUCCCAGUUGACAUUUCUCCUUGAUGCAUUUAGAAUCUGUCGUAGGGUUGGCUUAAGCCCAGAUUCCUUUUCUGUUUCAUUCUUUCUAUGGCCACUAACAUUGCGAAUUCGUCGAGCGCUAUUGAGGUUUGGCUCUGGGAGAUGUGUUGCUGUUUUGGACUUCAAACUGAUGUGCCGACUUAGAUCUCUCUGGAGCGAGGCAGGAAAACCAAGUUUACUUAGUUCGGGUAGGAGCGUGCCUGGGGGCUGAUUACUGAGAUCCGUUUUCUGAAGCUCUGCAUCCACACUAGUGUCCUCAAAGCUCUCAGUUUCAAAAGGUCCAUCAGAUUUAACAAGGUUGUUAUCCUGCGCAUCUUCUAGAGAGAUCUUCAAGUCUAGCAGUAAGCCAGAGUGUGGACUGGUCACUGCUGACACUUGUAACUCAGCCUCUUUCUGGUGAACUGUGGAAUUAUGUGGGGAGGCGGAGAGGUUCUCAGGUGUUCCUAGGAUUUGGCUCCCUUGUUCCUUAUCCACAGUGUGAGUGCUGCAGGACACAACCUCUGUGGUCAGUGAAGCCACACCUUCACUUUUUACGCCAUGGUUUUCUGUCUCAGAUGCCAUUUUCACAUCUGAUUUCACACUGCUCUCAGCCGAGUGUGCCUGAGACUCGAUUUUCACAGAGUCUUUGGAAGACUCUUCUACACUACUUUCUUUUGCAUCGUUCUCCGUUCUUUUGGGUGUGGUAAGGAGUGGAUUCUGCAGUGUUUUGGGACACUGUAGCACUGUGUCUUGGGCUUUCUGUGAGGUGCUAUUUAACUUCUCGUCAGGCUCUUUUUGAGUGCCUGAUACAGUUUUAUUCCCCUUUAAAACACGAGGACAUAAACUGUGUGAUUUGGAUGUGUAGGAAGAACCAUGGCCACCUUCUACUGUAGACUUGUUCAGGAGACGUGACUGAUCUCCAGAAGGAAAGGAUUUUGACUCAUUUUUUGAGCGGUUCUUUAAAUUAUGCUUAUGAGGACCUGAUUUAGGGGUUGGAAGUGGAAGGAGUGGGGAUUUCAGUAAUGGAAUCUUAUUUGACUUCUGAUGUGGCUCAGACUGCUCGGUAAUGGGGCAAGCUCUUGCCACCUCACAGAAAGCAGUGCCAUCAGAAAUGGAUUUGUGACUGGGAGAUCCAGGAGGUCCUUCCUUUUGUGUUUUUAGCAUUGGAGGAUUACUUGUUUUAUCAACUGGUUUGCGCAGUCCUGCAGUUAUUAAGCUAAAAUUAAAGAGAGGCUUAUCUAGCGUGUCUGACUUGUUGCCAAUGACUUCUUUCAGGGCUGACUGUAAAUCUAGAGUCUUCUGGGAAGGGUAAGGUGUCCAGCGGCGGAACUUGUCCCUUGCUUUGGUGCCAUUUUUUCCGUUAAUUUUUGAGGCUGCCGUGUCUGUCUGUUUAGUGGUUUGAUUUUCUCGCUGUUCAAAAUUGAACUCAAGUAAGCCUUCUGAGGGAAACGUAUCACUUGCGUAUCCCUCGGGAGGACUCCUGUACUUGGCAGCUUUGUCCCUGUCUUGCCUCUGCCACUUGCAUCUCUCCUGACUGUACUUGCUUGGCUUAUUAGAUUUCUUGUUCCACAUCUUGGUCAUGUCUUCCAUUUGAUAGUUAGAAUUUCUGUUUCUGCCUUGUUGAAAUUUGUCUCCAGGGCCAUUGUAAUUCCAGCUAUUUGUACCACGUACAUUGGAUUUCCAGUUUAUGUGCCAGCUGGGAAAGCCACCUGUUCCUUCAGAAUGCCAACUGGAAUUCCUUCCUGUACCAUUGUAAUUCCAAUCUACCAUCCCAUUGUUUGGAUGCCAGCCUCCUCCAGAAUUACUGUGAUUAUGGAACCAAGGUGAAGAGCCCCUUGUAGCACCUUUAUGCCAGCCAGAACUUCCUCUUGGCCCACCACUAUUCCUCAAAGAAUGUGGAAAGCUGUUUUUUCUAGUACUAUUAAAGCCAUCCUUUUCCCAUUUCCAGUCUCUCUGUGGGGGUCCACGAUGAUGUCUUGCUGGUUGAUUAUAGCUCUCUCUGUCUUGGAAAGGGAUUCGGUCCUCUCGUCUCCACUGGGGCUGCCUGUCAUCUGAGUUUACUUCUUGGCUAUUACUGGGAGGUUCAUCUUGUCUACUUUGUUCUUUUCUUUCUUGUAUUAACUGAACAAGUUCCUUAUCGAAAUAAUCUUCCUCUUCCUCUUCCUUUCCAUCAUCUUCUCUUUCCUGGGCAUCAACAUUAUCUUUGUGCAACUGGCCAGAAAUGUGCUUUGCAUAUGCAGAGAGACCCACUUCUGUGACCCGGCACACUCGGCACUCAUGACUACUGUCCCUAGGGAAAGAGGGAGAUGAAGGACAUUCAAUGCUCCCCACUGGCAUGGCACACUCACCAGAUGCUAGUUUCCUCUGGGACUCUGUAUGCAGAUGGCCACAGUGGAAGGUUAGAGGGGUCAAGUUGGUGCUCCUCUCACCACUUCUAGUACGUUUGCUUAUAAAUUACUUUGGAAUAAACUUUAGAUUCUUUUCCAGCAAUCAAGAGGCGAAACACUUGAAAUUAAUGGGCUUUAGGAGAAAUCUUCUUGAAUUGCUGUACUUAAAAUCUUGCCAGAGGAAACAUGGUGAAAGGGGAGGCAGGGCAGGGGGCUCAGAGCAAACACAAGCUGCUCUGGGGCACACCCAUGA
ensembl:lincRNA